UUAAGCGACUAAGCGUACACGGUGGAUGCCCUGGCAGUCAGAGGCGAUGAAGGACGUGCUAAUCUGCGAUAAGCGUCGGUAAGGUGAUAUGAACCGUUAUAACCGGCGAUUUCCGAAUGGGGAAACCCAGUGUGAUUCGUCACACUAUCAUUAACUGAAUCCAUAGGUUAAUGAGGCGAACCGGGGGAACUGAAACAUCUAAGUACCCCGAGGAAAAGAAAUCAACCGAGAUUCCCCCAGUAGCGGCGAGCGAACGGGGAGCAGCCCAGAGCCUGAAUCAGUGUGUGUGUUAGUGGAAGCGUCUGGAAAGGCGCGCGAUACAGGGUGACAGCCCCGUACACAAAAAUGCACAUGCUGUGAGCUCGAUGAGUAGGGCGGGACACGUGGUAUCCUGUCCGAAUAUGGGGGGACCAUCCUCCAAGGCUAAAUACUCCUGACUGACCGAUAGUGAACCAGUACCGUGAGGGAAAGGCGAAAAGAACCCCGGCGAGGGGAGUGAAAAAGAACCUGAAACCGUGUACGUACAAGCAGUGGGAGCACAGAGCAAUCUGUGUGACUGCGUACCUUUUGUAUAAUGGGUCAGCGACUUAUAUUCUGUAGCAAGGUUAACCGAAUAGGGGAGCCGAAGGGAAACCGAGUCUUAACUGGGCGUUAAGUUGCAGGGUAUAGACCCGAAACCCGGUGAUCUAGCCAUGGGCAGGUUGAAGGUUGGGUAACACUAACUGGAGGACCGAACCGACUAAUGUUGAAAAAUUAGCGGAUGACUUGUGGCUGGGGGUGAAAGGCCAAUCAAACCGGGAGAUAGCUGGUUCUCCCCGAAAGCUAUUUAGGUAGCGCCUCGUGAAUUCAUCUCCGGGGGUAGAGCACUGUUUCGGCAAGGGGGUCAUCCCGACUUACCAACCCGAUGCAAACUGCGAAUACCGGAGAAUGUUAUCACGGGAGACACACGGCGGGUGCUAACGUCCGUCGUGAAGAGGGAAACGACCCAGACCGCCAGCUAAGGUCCCAAAGUCAUGGUUAAGUGGGAAACGAUGUGGGAAGGCCAGACAGCCAGGAUGUUGGCUUAGAAGCAGCCAUCAUUUAAAGAAAGCGUAAUAGCUCACUGGUCGAGUCGGCCUGCGCGGAAGAUGUAACGGGGCUAAACCAUGCACCGAAGCUGCGGCAGCGACGCUGAUGCGUUGUUGGGUAGGGGAGCGUUCUGUAAGCCUGCGAAGGUGUGCUGUGAGGCAUGCUGGAGGUAUCAGAAGUGCGAAUGCUGACAUAAGUAACGAUAAAGCGGGUGAAAAGCCCGCUCGCCGGAAGACCAAGGGUUCCUGUCCAACGUUAAUCGGGGCAGGGUGAGUCGACCCCUAAGGCGAGGCCGAAAGGCGUAGUCGAUGGGAAACAGGUUAAUAUUCCUGUACUUGGUGUUACUGCGAAGGGGGGACGGAGAAGGCUAUGUUGGCCGGGCGACGGUUGUCCCGGUUUAAGCGUGUAGGCUGGUUUUCCAGGCAAAUCCGGAAAAUCAAGGCUGAGGCGUGAUGACGAGGCACUACGGUGCUGAAGCAACAAAUGCCCUGCUUCCAGGAAAAGCCUCUAAGCAUCAGGUAACAUCAAAUCGUACCCCAAACCGACACAGGUGGUCAGGUAGAGAAUACCAAGGCGCUUGAGAGAACUCGGGUGAAGGAACUAGGCAAAAUGGUGCCGUAACUUCGGGAGAAGGCACGCUGAUAUGUAGGUGAAGUCCCUCGCGGAUGGAGCUGAAAUCAGUCGAAGAUACCAGCUGGCUGCAACUGUUUAUUAAAAACACAGCACUGUGCAAACACGAAAGUGGACGUAUACGGUGUGACGCCUGCCCGGUGCCGGAAGGUUAAUUGAUGGGGUCAGCGCAAGCGAAGCUCUUGAUCGAAGCCCCGGUAAACGGCGGCCGUAACUAUAACGGUCCUAAGGUAGCGAAAUUCCUUGUCGGGUAAGUUCCGACCUGCACGAAUGGCGUAAUGAUGGCCAGGCUGUCUCCACCCGAGACUCAGUGAAAUUGAACUCGCUGUGAAGAUGCAGUGUACCCGCGGCAAGACGGAAAGACCCCGUGAACCUUUACUAUAGCUUGACACUGAACAUUGAGCCUUGAUGUGUAGGAUAGGUGGGAGGCUUUGAAGUGUGGACGCCAGUCUGCAUGGAGCCGGCCUUGAAAUACCACCCUUUAAUGUUUGAUGUUCUAACGUUGACCCGUAAUCCGGGUUGCGGACAGUGUCUGGUGGGUAGUUUGACUGGGGCGGUCUCCUCCUAAAGAGUAACGGAGGAGCACGAAGGUUGGCUAAUCCUGGUCGGACAUCAGGAGGUUAGUGCAAUGGCAUAAGCCAGCUUGACUGCGAGCGUGACGGCGCGAGCAGGUGCGAAAGCAGGUCAUAGUGAUCCGGUGGUUCUGAAUGGAAGGGCCAUCGCUCAACGGAUAAAAGGUACUCCGGGGAUAACAGGCUGAUACCGCCCAAGAGUUCAUAUCGACGGCGGUGUUUGGCACCUCGAUGUCGGCUCAUCACAUCCUGGGGCUGAAGUAGGUCCCAAGGGUAUGGCUGUUCGCCAUUUAAAGUGGUACGCGAGCUGGGUUUAGAACGUCGUGAGACAGUUCGGUCCCUAUCUGCCGUGGGCGCUGGAGAACUGAGGGGGGCUGCUCCUAGUACGAGAGGACCGGAGUGGACGCAUCACUGGUGUUCGGGUUGUCAUGCCAAUGGCACUGCCCGGUAGCUAAAUGCGGAAGAGAUAAGUGCUGAAAGCAUCUAAGCACGAAACUUGCCCCGAGAUGAGUUCUCCCUGACUCCUUGAGAGUCCUGAAGGAACGUUGAAGACGACGACGUUGAUAGGCCGGGUGUGUAAGCGCAGCGAUGCGUUGAGCUAACCGGUACUAAUGAACCGUGAGGCUUAACCUU
rnacentral:rRNA from 1 species